GGUGGAUGAGGUCUAUAAAGAUAAGCGCCAAGUUGAACCAACCCAACAAAUAAAGAUUGAGAAGAGGAAAAUACAAAAUGGGUGUAGCCAAGCAGGAGCAGCAACAGCAGCAGCUAGAGAAGCGAAACGAGGAGCUGGAAAGAGCUUUAAAGGAAAGCAAGGAGAGGGAAGAUCAGAUGAGAGAAGACCUACGGAGGGCUUGGGAGAGGCUGAGAGUGGCGGAGGAAGCGGAGGAAAGGCUCUGCUUACAGCUGGGUGAGCUUGAGGCUGAGGCCGUCAAUCAAGCGCGUGCAUACAACGCACGAAUCCUCUCUCUCAUGGAUCAGCUCUCUCAGGCCCUCAAUCUUCUCCAUAAACAAUAGAAUAGUGAAUUCCAGAUUUUAUGGAUGUUGUUAAAUAUAGGUUGUGGGUGAAUAUUGCGUAUUAUGUUUAUAAUUUGGGAUCUCUGCGCGUGUUGAGUUUCAUCUGUUUAUGCAGAGAUCAAUUUUUGUAGAUUUCAAAGGGCUGAGAUGUCCCUCUGGAUUGUUUUGAAUGUCAUCCCGAUUCUUUAAUGGAAGCAUGCUUAUUCAGAUUUAUGUUACCUCAAAAGAUUAGGAUCUUAAUAAAUAUUAACUUUAUAUUAUAUUUGGAUGUAAAAAUUGAAAUGAGCGAAUUUAGGUUUGAUUUUAGUAUCAACUUUGAAUAAAUGAAUGUAUGUAUAUAUACACACACACUUUCAUUCAUUCAAAGUUGGUAUAUAUAUAUACACG
rnacentral:misc_RNA from 1 species